rnacentral:tRNA from 1 species
GGGUGAUUAGCUCAGUUGGCUAGAGCACUUCUCUUACAAAGAAGGGGUCACUGGUUCGAGUCCAGUAUCACCCACCA